rnacentral:rRNA from 1 species
UACGGAGGAUCCAAGCGUUAUCCGGAUUUAUUGGGUUUAAAGGGUGCGUAGGCGGUUUUAUAAGUUAGAGGUGAAAAUUCGGGGCUCAACCCCGUCGUGCCGUUGAAACUGAUGUUCUUGAGUGGGCGAGAAGUAUGCGGAAUGCGUGGUGUAGCGGUGAAAUGCAUAGAUAUCACGCAGAACUCCGAUUGCGAAGGCAGCAUACCGGCGCCCAACUGACGCUGAAGCACGAAAGCGUGGGUAUCGAACAGG